GUGAUUCAUAUGCUUCCAUAGCAGGUGUCUGCUUCUGAGCCAAGCUCCCAGGGCAGCGGAGCAGGCACCAACCAGCAUCCCAGGGGAGGGCACAGCUUGUCCAGCUGGGAUGUUUGGGUGCCCUGUGAGAUGCCCCAAGCCACCAACCCAGCUUAUCUCAGGAGAAGCCUCGGCGGCCCGUCUGCCGGCCUGGAGAGAUGUGCUACAGCAGCCGGGGGUGGGGGGAGAGGGUGGGCUUAGAAUCUCUUGGCAGGGAGCCCCCAAGAGCAGGGUGAGACCUGCCUUCAUUUCACCUGUCCCCUUCACAGUUCUGCAAAGCCAGCAUUAUCAUCCCUUUUCAGAAGGAGUGGGCACUCAGGUGGAAUGCCUCACCCCAGUCCUGCGGCUGGAAAGCGAUAUGGCCAGGACUGCACCCCACCCCUCAUCCCUGCACCCCUUCCCUGCCUGGGAUUCCUCCAGCCCUGUGCACUGUGGAGCGCCUCUGCCUUCCGCUCAUGGAGGUUUCCCAAGGGCACGCGCUGAGGGCAGCUGGUCUCAGCCUGGGGCCGGGUCCUAGUAACUGUCUCUCUUUGCUUUCCAGCCAGUGUUUUGGGGUUUGAAGUUGGAAUCUUCAGCUACUGUCAAGAACAGCCACAAAAAUGUGUCACGAUCAAGAUCUUUGAGAGUCCACCAAUCAGGAGGCGUCUGUGACAGUCGCUGUCUUCUCAGAACAGAAUCCACACCCAGGAUUCAACCCAAAUGAUUUCUCAUCAGGUGAUUCUUGGUUGUAGCAAAGUUCAUGUGAAUGUGGGUGAGUUUCUGUUAUGAAUGUGGUCAAUAAAUGUUAUUUGUGAAACUCUAAA
rnacentral:lncRNA from 10 species